GAGACAAUCCCACAUUCCCUAAGAUAGUCGAGGAACUCUGAACUCAGAUACUCACCACCUCGAUCGGAUCGAAGCAUCUUAUGGUUCCUGCCCAAUUGAUUCUCGACUUUAUGUUUAAAUUCCUUAAACCUUUCGAAAGUCUCUAACUUAUGCUUGAUUAAGUNGAUUAGGUAGACAUAUCCAUAUCUACUGUAAUCAUCAGUAAAAGUCAAAUAAUAACGAUUAGCAUCCCUUGUGGCAUGUUUGAAUGGUCCACACACAUCCGUGUGUACAAGGUCCAACAAACCUUCACCCCUCUCACAAGAGCUUGUGAAGGGUGACUUUGUCAUUUUUCCAAGUAAGCAUGAUUCGUAACUAUCAUCUGACUUUAGGUCAAACGACUCCAAGACUCCAUCCUUUUGGAGUUGGCCUAUGCAUUUCUUGCUUAUAAGUCCAAGACGACAAUUCCAUAAUAAUGCUUUAUCCUAGUUAUUAUUAUUAAUAGAAUCAAUACACAUCACAUUAUUUCCUAAGUUAUUUAUAACAGACACAGCUUCAUACACACCAUCACAAGGUAAUGCUUUAAAAUAAAGAACAUUAUUAAAGAAAGCAUCAAUAGNUCACAAGAGCCUGUGAAGGGUGACUUUGUCAUUUUUCCAAGUAAGCAUGAUUCGCAACUAUCAUCUGACUUUAGGUCAAACGACUCCAAGACUCCAUCCUUUUGGAGUUGGCCUAUGCGUUUCUUGCUUAUAUGUCCAAGACGACAAUGCCAUA
rnacentral:lncRNA from 1 species